UAAUUGACAUAGAUAAAGUGCUCUACUAGGAUAAUGCGCGAGAAAAGGUCGGGAUAGCUCAGUUGGUAGAGCAGAGGACAUGAAUC
rnacentral:tRNA from 1 species